AGGCACUCUGGCUUUUUAAGUUCUCAGGGUUCUUGCACUGAUUCUUUCUCAUCGUUUUGGGCUUAUCUUCCUUCAAUUUUUUAGGUUGCUGGUGUUUGGAUUUUUUUUUCUCUUAUCCUAUUUGAUAACCUUGAGUGUUUGAUUCUGGUAUAAGGUGGAUUCAGCUGACUGGCUUCAUUUCUAGAAGAUUUUAGGGAGCCAACACUCAGCUCCUAACUCCUGGACUGUGUGCUUUAAAUAUGGGAGACUUGUACUGGGCUGCAACUUUGUUCUCUGUCUCCUGGAGGUCAGGAAUCUACUGCACUGGGGAUGCUGAGGUUCUCACAGACUGCUUCUCAUCACACUCCCAUAGGUGGUGUCAGCCAAAAGGUUCUGUGAUGUGUGAAAACAACUUGGGAGUAGUAAUGAAGAUGACCAGAGGCCAGCGAGCUGAAAGUGUUUCCAGCAAAGCAGCCCUCUGAUCCAUAUACUUUAGCUACAACUUACAUCACCAAGGUCCAUAUUAUAUACUGUGAUAUUCCAGCUGCACAGCGAAGAAUCCGUCACCUGCUGACAAAAACAAAUGAUGCUGAGAGGUUUGGGCACAAUAAAGUGGAUAAUUAUACACAGGCACUUUUUCCCAUGCAGCAUUCUUUAAGGAUGUGCCAGAGGAUCUUGAAAGAUCUUUGAAGAGCUAUGAACUGAUAGAAAUACAAUCUUGGAUUUAUUUUUUAAUCAUUUGCUAGUUAAUAAAAUUACUGCUUUCAAUGUAGAAUUACAGCUUUUAACUGAUCCUACUUUAUUGCAGAUUUGCAUAAAGAAGAAGACAAUCUAAUGUAAUAUCUGAAAGCAAAACAAAGAGAAUAAUAAUAGUUUGAGGUCUGAAUUAUAUUCCUCUGCCUUUUGAUAUGCAUUGCCAAAUUUCCUGUAAGAUAUCCUAAUAUAUUUAUAUAGAAUUUACAAUUCUAUAUAAAUAUUUUAACUUUCUUAAUGUUGUGAUCUUACUUUUAAGAAUCUGGCAACUUAAAUUCAUGACUACUUAAAGAAUCACUUUAUCCUUAUACAUCUAAAGACACGAAAGUCUUAUUUCCUAAGGAAUAAUUGGACCAAAAAUUUUUCAAGCCAGUUUACUUAAGUCAUUAUUUUCCCUGUAACUCAGAAUACAUUAACUCCAGUAUCAAAAUGUAACCAUUAUGAUUCCUCAUGUCUUCAUGACUCUCUAAACUGUGUUGUUAAUCAUUUUGUGAUAAAUCUUUUCAGCAAGCCUAUGAUGACCAAAGUUCAUUAGGAUCAUCAAGAUGUGGAAAAAAAUAACACUAGGUUACAUUAAAAAUGGAAAACAUGCCAAAUUAACUCUUGCAGAUAACCCACUGUCGAAGAUAGGUGAGAUAAAUAAUUUAGGACAUUCAUUUUACAUUUUCAAAUUAAUAAUGUAUAUUCUGUGGCUUUCUAUUUAUAUAUAGAUCCACAUGGGCUACUAUGAAAAAUACAUUUGUUAAAAUACUUUAUCAAAUUAUUUAAAUAAUAAAAUUGACUUUGUCAAGUUUUGCUCAUUUACAAGUAUUUAUUUUAUGUUUCACUAUAUACCAGCUACUGUUUUUGUUAAUCAGCUUUUUUGAGGUAUAUGUUACAUUCACUAAAAUAAACUCAUUUUUAGUGUGUA
rnacentral:lncRNA from 1 species